rnacentral:rRNA from 1 species
UACGGAGGGUGCAAGCGUUGUCCGGAUUUAUUGGGUUUAAAGGGUGCGUAGGCGGCUUAUUAAGUCAGGGGUGAAAGACGGUGGCUCAACCAUCGCAGUGCCUUUGAUACUGAUGAGCUUGAAUACACUUGAGGUAGGCGGAAUGUGACAAGUAGCGGUGAAAUGCAUAGAUAUGUCACAGAACACCAAUUGCGAAGGCAGCUUACUAAAGUGUGAUUGACGCUGAGGCACGAAAGCGUGGGGAUCAAAC